GGAAGGUGCAAGCGUUAAUCGGAAUUACUGGGCGUAAAGCGCGCGUAGGCGGCUAGAUAAGUCGGGUGUGAAAGCCCCGGGCUCAACCUGGGAACUGCAUUCGAUACUGUCUGGCUAGAGUGUAAUAGAGGGAUGCGGAAUUCCGCAUGUAGCGGUGAAAUGCGUAGAGAUGCGGAGGAACACCAAUGGCGAAGGCAGCCUCCUGGAUUAACACUGACGCUGAGGUGCGAAAGCGUGGGGGGGAGCAAACAGGAUUAGAUACCCUGGUAGUCCACGCCGUAAACGAUGUCAACUAGCCGUUGGGGGCACUUUGGCCCCUAGUGGCGCAGCUAACGCGAUAAGUUGACCGCCUGGGAGUACGGUCGCAAGAUUA
rnacentral:rRNA from 1 species